AGCCCGCUCAGAACUCAAAGGAAUUGACGGGGCCGCACAAGCGGAGGAGCAUGUGGUUUAAUUCGAUGAUACGCGAGGAACCUUACCUGGGCUCGAACGUAAGAUGACUGUAGGUGAAAGCUUACAUCUCUUCGGAGCAUUUUACGAGGUGCUGCAUGGUUGUCGUCAGCUCGUGCCGUGAGGUGUCGGGUUAAGUCCCAUAACGAGCGCAACCCCUACCUUUAGUUGCCAUCAGGUUAAGCUGGGGACUCUAAAGGAACUGCCUACGCAAGUAGUGAGGAAGGCGGGGAUGACGUCAAAUCAGCACGGCCCUUACGUCCAGGGCUACACACGUGCUACAAUGGCCGAUACAGAGGGCAGCUACCUGGUGACAGGAUGCAAAUCUCCAAAGUCGGUCUCAGUUCGGAUCGGAGUCUGCAACCCGACUCCGUGAAGUUGGAUUCGCUAGUAGUCGCGCAUCAGCCAUGGCGCGGUGAAUACGUUCCCGGGCCUU
rnacentral:rRNA from 1 species